rnacentral:lncRNA from 1 species
CGAGGGCCGAUGGGCCUUCACAGCAUAGAGGAGGACUCGCUCCCGCCGUUCUCAGGGUGGCUCGGGGCGUCACCGGGAGGGCCAAGGGAGCAUAGCCGGGACCUGCAGGGAGCCUGGGCCUCACUUCUCCCGGCACGACACCAAACCUGGAAGCCCCAAGAAUGCCGGAUUCCAGAGCUUCUGUAUAGCAUCAUCCCCAUGGAGGGUUAUCUACAGAGAGAGAUCUUCACAUGGUUCCAUGUAGGUGAGCCCCGGGACACAGUCGGCCGUGCCACUCACCGGUUCCAGCUGUGA